rnacentral:rRNA from 1 species
AUGAACGUUGGCGGUGCGCCUAAUACAUGCAAGUCGAGGGUCUUACGCAAGUAAGAACCGGCAGACGGGUCCGUAACACGUUGGAACCUGCCCUGAAGUGAGGGAUAACCACGAGAAAUCGUGGCUAAUACCGCAUAUGGCCGAAAGGUUAAAGCAGCAAUGCGCUUCAGGAGGGGCCUGCGUCCUAUCAGCUAGUUGGCGAGGUAACGGCUCACCAAGGCUAUGACGGGUAGCUGGUCUGAGAGGAUGAUCAGCGACGGGGAGACUGAGACACGGCUCCCACUCCUACGGGAGGCAGCAGUAAGGAAUCUUUCGCAAUGGGGGAAACCCUGACGAAGCGACACCGCGUGGAGGAUGAAGCCCGGAAGGGUGUAAACUUCUUUUCUGAGGGACGAAUUCUGACGGUACCUCAGGAAUAAGCACCGGCUAACUCUGU